AUUGAACGCUGGCGGCAGGCCUAACACAUGCAAGUCGAACGAGCGGCGGACGGGUGAGUAAUGUCUGGGAAUCUGCCUGAUGGCGGGGGAUAACUACUGGAAACGGUAGCUAAUACCGCAUACCAUCAGAUGAUCCCAUAUGGGAUUAGCUAGUUGGUGGGGUAACGGCUCACCAAGGCGACGAUCCCUAGCUGGUCUGAGAGGAUGACCGGCCACACUGGAACUGAGACACGGUCCAGACUCCUACGGGAGGCAGCAGUGGGGAAUAUUGCACAAGGGGCGCAAGCCUGAUGCAGCCAUGCCGCGGGUAUGAAGAAGGCCUUCGGGUUGUAAAGUACUUUCAGCGGGGAGGCGUUACCCGCAGAAGAAGCACCGGCUAACUCCGUGCCAGCAGCCGCGGUAAUAC
rnacentral:rRNA from 1 species